AGCUAAUGUUGAUGGAUACAGUCCUAUUUAUAACCCUGAUGAAUGGUCCCCAAGUGGCGAUGUCUAUGUUGGCGGUACCACUGGCUUAGCCCUUUGGGCAAUAACGUUGGCUGGACUUCUUGCAGGAGGUGCUCUGCUAGUCUACAACACAAGUUCUUUGGCGCGUUAGAUAAUGAAACUGAAAAAGUAAUUGAAUCGAAGAAUCGAAUUUACUCAGAUAUCUAUCGAAAUUAUUAUCUCAUCAGCACAAAUUAAGUUGUAUUGUGACUUAUUCAGUAAAAUAUAUAACUUGUUAAAAGAACUUUUGGCCUCUUAAUUAAUA
rnacentral:misc_RNA from 1 species